rnacentral:rRNA from 1 species
AGAGUUGAUCAUGGCUCAGGACGAACGCUGGCGGCGUGCUAACACAUGCAAGUCGAGCGGUAAGGCCCCUCCGGGGGCACACGAGCGGCGAACGGGUGAGUAACACGUGAGCAACCUGCCCCUGACUCCGGGAUAAGCGGUGGAAACGCCGUCUAAUACCGGAUACGACCCUCCGGCUCAUGCCGUGGGGGUGGAAAGUUUUUUCGGUUGGGGAUGGGCUCGCGGCCUAUCAGCUUGUUGGUGGGGUAAAGGCCUACCAAGGCGAUUACGGGUAGCCGGCCUGAGAGGGCGAACGGCCACACUGGGACUGAGACACGGCCCAGACUCCUGCGGGAGGCAGCAGUGGGGAAUCUUGCGCAAUGGGCGAAAAAGCCUGACGCAGCGACGCCGCGUGGGGGAUGACGGCCUUCGGGUUGUAAACUCCUUUUACCACUCACGCAGGCCCGGGGUUUUCUUCGGGUUGACGGUAGGUGGGGAAUAAGGACCGGCUAACUACGUGCCAGCCGCCGC